GACAUAGGGUGCAAACGUUGCUCGGAAUUACUGGGCGUAAAGCGCGUGUAGGCGGGCUGAUAAGUCGGAUGUGAAAUCCCUGAGCUCAACUCAGGAACUGCAUUCGAAACUGUCAGUCUUGAGUAGUGGAGAGGAAAGCAGAAUUCCUGGUGUAGAGGUGAAAUUCGUAGAUAUCAGGAGGAACACCGGUGGCGAAGGCGGCUUUCUGGACACUUACUGACGCUGAGACGCGAAAGCGUGGGGAGCAAACAGG
rnacentral:rRNA from 1 species